rnacentral:rRNA from 1 species
UGCAAGUCGAACGCUUCUUUUUCCACCGGAGCUUGCUCCACCGGAAAAAGAGGAGUGGCGAACGGGUGAGUAACACGUGGGUAACCUGCCCAUCAGAAGGGGAUAACACUUGGAAACAGGUGCUAAUACCGUAUAACAAUCGAAACCGCAUGGUUUUGAUUUGAAAGGCGCUUUCGGGUGUCGCUGAUGGAUGGACCCGCGGUGCAUUAGCUAGUUGGUGAGGUAACGGCUCACCAAGGCAACGAUGCAUAGCCGACCUGAGAGGGUGAUCGGCCACAUUGGGACUGAGACACGGCCCAAACUCCUACGGGAGGCAGCAGUAGGGAAUCUUCGGCAAUGGACGAAAGUCUGACCGAGCAACGCCGCGUGAGUGAAGAAGGUUUUCGGAUCGUAAAACUCUGUUGUUAGAGAAGAACAAGGAUGAGAGUAACUGUUCAUCCCUUGACGGUAUCUAACCAGAAAGCCACGGCUAACUACGUG